rnacentral:misc_RNA from 1 species
GAGUAUUCUUAAUAGAGUUAUUUAAGUCCGUACAUUACGGUCAUUAAGCACAAUACUGCUGCUUUUUUUGGUGGGGGCAACAGAUUUUGUAGCCAUUUUAUUUUCCAUUCCUUUAACUUCAUAAGAAAGAAUAAGACAAACCGGCCAUGUGGAAAUCAUUUUCUUGAUGCCUUCAUGCAUAGAAAAGGACGCAAUUCAAACGCACUAUAAACCUACAGGAAGCAAUAUGGCAUGUACUGAUGACGAAUAAAUUAAAGAGUUACAACAAGCCAAGUGCUGAAUAGGGGGUUUUCUUGAUGGUUUUACCAGGAUUAUGACGG